CCUACGGGAGGCAGCAGUGGGGAAUAUUGCACAAUGGGCGCAAGCCUGAUGCAGCAACGCCGCGUGAGGGACGACGGCCUUCGGGUUGUAAACCUCUUUUAGCAGGGAAGAAGCGAAAGUGACGGUACCUGCAGAAAAAGCACCGGCUAACUACGUGCCAGCAGCCGCGGUAAUACGUAGGGUGCAAGCGUUGUCCGGAAUUAUUGGGCGUAAAGAGCUCGUAGGCGGUUUGUCGCGUCUGCUGUGAAAACGCGAGGCUCAACCUCGCGCCUGCAGUGGGUACGGGCAAACUAGAGUGCGGUAGGGGAGAUUGGAAUUCCUGGUGUAGCGGUGGAAUGCGCAGAUAUCAGGAGGAACACCAAUGGCGAAGGCAGAUCUCUGGGCCGUAACUGACGCUGAGGAGCGAAAGCAUGGGGAGCGAACAGGAUUAGAUACCCUGGUAGUCCAUGCCGUAAACGUUGGGAACUAGAUGUAGGGACCAUUCCACGGUUUCUGCGUCGCAGCUAACGCAUUAAGUUCCCCGCCUGGGGAGUACGGUCGCAAGACUAAAACUCAAAGGAAUUGACGG
rnacentral:rRNA from 1 species